rnacentral:rRNA from 1 species
UGGGUUUGACAUACGCCGGAAAGCAUCAGAGAUGGUGCCCCUUUUUGUCGGUGUACAGGUGGUGCAUGGCUGUCGUCAGCUCGUGUCGUGAGAUGUUGGGUUAAGUCCCGCAACGAGCGCAACCCUCGUUCCAUGUUGCCAGCAGGCCCUUCGGGGUGCUGGGGACUCAUGGGAGACUGCCGGGGUCAACUCGGAGGAAGGUGGGGAUGACGUCAAGUCAUCAUGCCCCUUAUGUCCG